rnacentral:rRNA from 1 species
CCUACGGGUGGCAGCAGUGAGGAAUAUUGGUCAAUGGGCGCGAGCCUGAACCAGCCAAGUAGCGUGAAGGAUGACUGCCCUACGGGUUGUAAACUUCUUUUAUAAAGGAAUAAAGUGAGGCACGUGUGCCUUUUUGUAUGUACUUUAUGAAUAAGGAUCGGCUAACUCCGUGCCAGCAGCCGCGGUAAUACGGAGGAUCCGAGCGUUAGCCGGAUUUAUUGGGUUUAAAGGGAGCGUAGGUGGGUUGUUAAGUCAGUUGUGAAAGUUUGCGGCUCAACCGUAAGAUUGCAAUUGAUACUGGCAGCCUUGAGUACAGGUGAGGUAGGCGGAAUUCGUGGUGUAGCAGUGAAAUGCUUAGAUAUCACGAAGAACACCGAUGGCGAAGGCAGCCUACUAGACUGCCACUGACGCUGAGGCACGAAGGUGAGGGGAGCGAACGGGAUUAGAUGCCCGAGUAGUC